rnacentral:rRNA from 1 species
CCCUUAGAUGUUCUGGGCCGCACGCGUGCUACACUGAGUAAUUCAAUGGGUAAGGGAACGCUAGAGCAUUACCUAAUCUUGAAAUUUGCUCGUGAUGGGGAUCGACGGUUGUAAUUUUCCGUCGUGAACGAGGAAUACCUUGUAGGCGCAUGUCAUCAUCAUGCGCCGAAUACGUCCCUGCCCUUUGUACACACCGCCCGUCGCUCCUACCGAUUGAGUGAUCCGGUGAGGCUCUGGGACCUGGACGGAAAGAGCGUUUCGCUUGUUCUGUUUGGGAAACUUGGUCGAACCUUAUCAUUUAGAGGAAGGAGAAGUCGUAACA